CAGUCGCCACGGUAAUACGUAGGGGGCAAGCGUUAUCCGGAAUUACUGGGUGUAAAGGGAGCGUAGACGGUUAAACAAGUCUGAAGUGAAAUGCCGGGGCUCAACCCCGGAGCUGCUUUGGGAACUGUAGAACUGGAGUGUCGGAGGGGUAAGCGGAAUUCCCAGUGUAGCGGUGAAAUGCGUAGAUAUUGGGAGGAACACCGGCGGCGAAGGCGGCUUACUGGACGACAACUGACGUUGAGGCUCGAAGGCGUGGGUAGCAAACAGGAUUAGAUACCCAGGUAGUCCCUGUCUCUUAUAC
rnacentral:rRNA from 1 species